UCAACGUCUACAAGCAGCGGAUGUGGCAGAUCGGUAUCCCAUGAGACAUAGUCGAACUUGUCAUGUGCAAAUCAUUCGGAAGUACCUUCACUGGUCCAACGCUAGAAUGGCUUAUGAAUACCAAUACCACCCUUGGAUAUGUUGCCUUCCUCGCCGACCUGAUCAAUGCCUUUUACCAGCAGUCGUCAGCUAGGGUAGCAAACUAGUGACCUUUAUUGGUUGGUCCAAGAUCCCACCGAGUCGGUACGUAAUUAUUUCAGUCGAUUUAAUUGUGAAAAAAAUUAUUAUUAAAAACUGUGAUGUCAAGACAGCUAUUAAAGCCUUCAAAAGAGGUCUCUUCCCUAAUUCGGAGUUGUACCGGGAAAUCACCAAAUGUGCUUGUGCAAUGUUCGAAGAGAUUAGGUCCAGAGCUUGCACCCAAAUGCGCCUGGAGGAUGAUGAAGCAAUCCGGGCAUCAGCACCACGACCAGCAGGGGGCAACAACGACAGAAGAUUGUACACCCAGAGGAACAACAAUUGGCGACACCAACCAUAGAAUCGCCAAAACUAGGUACAAAAUGUCAAUCAAUAUGAUGAUACUAACAAUGGUUACAGGAAUGAGUAGGCCGACUACCCAGACAUCUCAGAGCACAGUUUCAAAGUCAACAUCAGAGGCGUCGUCACGCUCUUCAAAACGUUGGUGGGAACGUCAGGUGGCCCAGAAAGAGCGAUAAGCCAGACUCCAUGAAGAACAUGAGCAAAUGGUGUGAGUUCCACCGCGACAACGACCACAGAACCGAGGAUUGCAUCUCCCUCAAAAAGGAGCUUGCAUAUCUGUUGACGCGGGGGCUCUUAACGAAGCUGCUAAGAGACAAAGGGAAGGAGGCCUACAACAAGGAAAAGACCAACCAGGCCAACCCAACGCCUAUUAGCGACCGACCGGAAUCACUGCAGUAUAAUAAAGUGGUAAAUGUUAUUUCCAGUGGCUCAGAUAUUUGUGGACUAACCUCAUAUGCAGCUAAAAGGAUAAAAAGAGGAGAACCUAGAGCCGUCAAAGAGGGGCAGAACGAGGAUGAGAUCGCACUCGACAAAUGCCUUACAACUAUGUCAAUCACCUUUGACGACUCAGAUUCAGUCUACGCACACCAGGAGCAUCACGACGGAUUGGUGAUAUCACUCCCCAUCGGAAACGCUCAGAUCAAAAGGAUAUUGAUCGAAAUUGAAAGUUCCGCAAAUGUGUUGUUUCUCGAAGCUCUACAGGAGAUGGGGAUCGCCAAGAAGAUCAUAGUCAAGAGGUCAACAAUUUUGGUAGGGUUCAGUGGAGAGUCGAUGCGCACAGUAGGGAAGAUAUCCUUCCCAGGUACGCAGAAGACGUCAACAUGAUGACCAAAUUCAACGUUGUAGACUGCCCAUCAGCAUACAACGUCAUUUUGGGAAAGCCCUGGAUCCACAAGAUGAAAGCAGUUCCAUCCACCUACCACCAAUCAAUCAAAUUCCCUACCAAGUGGGGAGUCAUGGAAAUCAAAGGACAACAACGCGAGGCCGAACGCUGCUACGAGACUGCACUUAAGCCAUCAAAGUCAUCCAUCUAGCAAUUACAGCAAGGGUCGACAACAGAUGAUCCAGACGACCAACAGAUUGACGAGAUUGUGUCAUACCCAGCUAAGCCAGAUUAGGUCGUAAGGAUCGGAGCGUCGCUCCCUCACGACAUCAGAAGUCAGAUAGUGGCGUUCCUAAGAGAAAACCUGGACUACUUCGCCUGGUCGCACGAAGAUAUGACAGGAAUCAACCCACACGUCAUCAUCCAUAAGCUCGACGUCGACCCCAACUUCAAACCAGCCAAGCAUAAGUGACGAAAGUUCGCACCCGAAACAAACAAGAUCAUAGAUGAAGAGGUCUAGGAAUUGAUCGAGACAUGGAAGAUUCGAGAACUCAAGCAUCCGGAUUGGUUAGCAAAUGUAGUCGUCGUUAGGGGUGCUCAUAAAAAACCGUAACCGCGAACCGUACCGAAAAUAGAAAAAAUCGGACUAAACGGGCGGUAAACCGAACCGAAAAAAUAACAUAAGUGGUUACGGUAACUGAAUCGACAAAAUUAUCGUUUAAACGGGUCAGUUACGGUUAUAAAUUUUGACAAAACGAUUAACCGAAAAAACUGAAUUUUUUUUAAAAAAACUUAUUCAAUUUAAUUUAGUUGGAGGUGACAAAAUCACUAAAUUAUAAGUAAAGUAGUUUUGUGCGCUGCUAGCUCAAUUAGGUACUUAAUUCUUAGGCACUUAGCCCAUGAGUUCAUUAUUGCAAAAAUUAGUACGUGACUUCGUAAUUUUGUUCGAACAUAUGAACUUGUGUAAUUUUUGACAUUGUUUGGACUUAUUUUUGUUUUACUUGAUCUUCUAUUUAAAAAUGUUAUUUCUUGUAUAAAAAAUAAUUCGAUAAAUGAGAUCCAAAAUAGAAAUAAAAAAUUGAAUAUCGGUUUAUGGUUAACCGUGUAACUGUACCGAAACCGCGGUUAACCGUUUACACGGUAACCGGUUUAAACAGUACGGUUACGGUUCAUGAAAAUGCCGAAUCGAAAAUUUCGGUUACCAAAUCGAAUCAAGAUUCGGGACGGUUAACCACCCAUGAACACCACUAGUCGUCGUCAUUAAAAAGAACGAUAAGUGGAGGGUUUGCAUAGACUUCACCGACAUCAACAAAGCAUGCCCCAAGGAUCCCUUUCCUUUGCCGCACAUGGACGCCAUGGUGGACGCCACAACCGGUCACGAAUUGCUGACAUUUAUGGACGUUUAUUCUGGAUAUAAUCAGAUCCUCUUGCACCCAGAGGAUCAAGAAAAAACAGCUUUUGUAACAGACAGAGGAAUAUAUUGUUAUAAAGUCAUGCCUUUUGGUCUUAAGAAUGCAGUGCGACGUACUAGCGACUGGUCAACAAGAUGUUCAAAGAUAAGCUUGGAGACACGAUGGAAGUUUACAUUGACAACAUGUUGGUGAAAUCGAAGAAAGCAGGCGACCACGUGGAACACCUACGCCCAUCCUUUUAAAUAUUAAGGAAAUACGAUAUGAAACUAAACCUUACUAAAUGUUCUUUUGGAGUGUCUGUAGGAAAGUUCUUGGGCUACAUCGUCACCUAACGAGGAAUCGAAGCAAGCCCAGACCAAGUACGAGCGAUCAUCAACAUUCAGUCACCAAGAAACAUAAAAGAGGUACAACGCUUGAUAAGACGAGUGGCAACAUUAAAUCGUUUCAUCUCGAGGUCGUCAUACAAAUGUCGACUAUUUUAUGAUGUCUUGCGGAAAAAUAAAGGAUUCGUCUGGUCUGACGACCACGAAGAGGCUUUGCAAAAUCUUAAAAAAUACUUGAUGCCAUUACCCCUCAUGUCCAAGCCAAAGGAAGGGGAAGUCUUACAACUUUACCUUGCCGUCAGUCCAGUAGCAGUGAACGCAGUGCUAGCCCGAGAAAAUGAGACACAUCAGCUACCCAUCUACUAAAUUAGUAAGUCUCUGUUAGACGCAGAGACCAAUUACUCUUCUCUAGAAAAACUCGUUUUAGCACUCGUCACUGCUGCCAAGAAGCUAAGGCAUUACUUUGAAACCCACCAAAUGGUGGCCGGUGAUGACUAACCACCCCCAAUAAGUUUGUGAUGCGUAGGCCAGAACUUACAGGUCGCAUGGAAAAAUGGACGAUGGCGUUGGGAGGAUUCGACAUCAAAUACCAGCCAAGGACAUCAGUGAAGUCGCAAGCACUAGUUGAACUUGUGGCCGACUUCAUCCCCGACUUGGAAAAGGUACCAAAGACGAAGUAGAACACAUCAACAACGUAGACAAAGGUGGAGCAUGAACACUAUUCGUCGACGAAUCUUUAAACAAAGGUGGAGCAGGGUUAGGCGUCAUGCUGAAACCACCACAAGGGGACAUGAUAUCACAUGCCAUAUGUUGCGACUUCAGGGCGACAAAUAAUGAAGCAGAUUACGAGGCGCUGAUCGCUGGAAUGACACUAGCAGAGAACCUAGGAGCGACAAGACUUAACAUUUUCAGAGAUUCCCAAUUGAUCGUCAACGAAAUGGAGACUAUGAAGCCAAAGACCUCAAAAUGACCCUAUACCUUGAAGCAGCAAAAAAGGAAACCACAAAAUUCAACCCAUUUUCCAUAAAACAAGUCCCAAGAGACAAAAACACACAAGCCAACGCACUCGCAAACCUAGGAUCAACGCUGAGAAAGUCACCCUUGUCAACCAUACCCUUAGUACACCUGUUGUCGCCAACUAUUGAUAAAGAAAAUCCACCAGACAACAACCUCGUCAUAACAACCACAAACACAGAAAGUUGGACAAAAUCCAUCCCCGAUUACCUCCUCCAUGAAACCCUUCCUAACGACAAGCUCGAAGCCGGAAACAUCCUAUUUAAAGCUUCACGCUAUGCUAUUUUGCAGGGUGUCCUUUUUAAGAAAUCGGCCAACGGAACGAUGAUGAGAUGCACAGACAAAGCAGAAUGGGAAGGGCUACUCCAACAAUACCACGAAGGAUAAUUUGGAAGUCACGAAGGCGAUCGAACUCUAUCAAUCAAAGUCAAGAGGAACGGGUACUACUGGUCGACAAUGUUCAAAGACGCCAUGAGCUACGUCGCCAAGUGCGAUAAAUUCCAAAGGCACGCAAGUAUGAUACACAAACCAUCUGAAUUACUACAUCCCACUUUGACACCUUGCCCUUUCAUGAAAUGGGGAAUGGAUAUCGUUGGAAAACUGCCCGUCGCCUUAGGACAAAAGGUCUUUAUGUUAGCACUAACAUAUUACUUUUCUAAGUGGAUAGAAGCAGGUGAAUACUAACAAGUAAGAGACGAAGAAGUUUGCUUGUUUAUCUGGAAUAACAUAAUAUGUAGGUUUGGUGUACCAUCAGAAAUCGUAUGCGACAACGGAUCCAAAUUCAUAAGCGACAAGAUGAUAGCUUUCUGCAAAACGUGGAACAUCGAGCUGAAAACAUCAACGCCAAGUACCCCCAAGAAAACGGUAAAGCAAAGUCGAGCAACAAGACGGUCGCCGGGUCGUUAAAGAAGCGACUAGAUAUAAAGAAGGGGCGUUGGGAAGAGGAAUUUCCCUCCAUCCUAUGGGCCAAUAGGACGACACCUAGGACGGCGACGGGGCAGAUGCCUUUCUCACUUGUCUAUGGGUGUGAAGCAGUACUACCCCCGGAAGUGAAAUUGCCCAGUGCGAGACACGGGUUGAUGACACAGGAGUAGAACGACGUGGAGCUAAGGGAGAACCUCGACGACACAGAAGAACUUAGAGAAGAAGCAUUGAUAAGGAUGACGUCUUAACAACAGAUCGUCGCGAAGUGUUUCAACAAGAACGUCAAGGAAAAUAUCUUCAAACAGGGCGACUGGGUACUGCACAAAGUGUUUCAGAACACUAGGGAAUCAAAUGCAAGUAACCUGACACCAGCUUGGGAAGGACCAUACCUGAUCGACAAGAUAAUCGGCAAAGGAGCAUACAGACUUGCCACUAAGGAUGAAAAGUUGGUCCCUCGAAGAUGGAACACCACCAACCUUAAACUCUAUCACUUUUGAAGCUUUCGUCGUUCACAAUUUUAUCAGUUUUAUCGCUUUCAUUUCAUUACUCUUUUUUUACAUACUUUAUAGCUUUCCAUUUUUUCUCAACUAUUACUGACUUAGGCAUCGGAGGGCCGUUGGCACCCCCGACCGCCUAUUCUUCUAGUGACCAAUGUUUGCCUUGCAGGAACAACGAUCGACAAAGGCAUGCGUCAUCAACAAACGACGACUACACCAAAUAAUGCCACGUCAAUAUGGUCAUGACCAUUAAACUUAUUGGAUCCCAACAACGACGCGUCGCCACAAAGCGCGACCAUUUAACAACGCAGGCGGAGAAUUCUCUGUAGGGGACUUUUGAAAUCGUUAAAGUGGCCUAUUAAUUUGUUUACACAAGGUGAUUUUACGAUCAUUUGGAUGCUUUCGGAGUGUUCAAAGUUGAUUUGGAUGAUGAACGGAUGGGAUGUUGACUUGAGGAUCAUUACAUGUCUCUAUGAAUAAUUUUGAGUCAACAACGAAGCUAAACGUUAUUUUUCUAAGCAUAAAAACGGACAAGCGUUCACUCUUUUGAUGAUAUCUCAAGUUCUAUAUAUCGGAAUGAGAUAAUUUUGAUUGGGCUAGAAAAUAGAGUUAAAGAGCUUUCCAACGAUAGGUCACACGUCCCUAGAGGCAUUGUAGAACAAGAGUUAUGACAUAAACGCUUCGCCCAACUAUGCAGCGAGGGAUCACUCGCCUCCAGCGAGGGAUGUCCCUUGCGCUAGUCCCCUUGCUGCCCACACCAACUCACCGCGCACCAGCAGCCAGCGAGCGAUGCCUCGCCAUCAGUGAGGAUGCCCGCACAGCCUUCGUCUCGCGCAUCAACCCCCCAGCUAGCGCUCGAUCGGCCCAGCGAGGGAUCUCGCGCUCCCCUCUACCAUUCUCGACACGCACGCACAUUAGCUUGCCCAGCAAGGGAUCGCCCGCCUACAGCGAGAGAUGUGCCUACUACACGCCUACAAUGCUGCCCCGUCGUGCUACACUUCGCGUCUCUUGGAUGGCUCGAUCGCGCUCGGGUUUCAUUGCCACGUCAUCUUCCAUCGACCAAUCAUUGACGACUUCCAUCUUUAUUUUCUUAUUUAUUUAUUUAUUUAUUUUAUUUUAGAAAAUAGGAGCAUAUAAAUACUCAAGGGAAUGCUUUUAUUUUCCUUCAUGUUAUUAUUUCCUUAGAAUUUCAUUUUCAUGUUUCUUUUCUCUCUUCUCUUUUUCAUGAACCCUAGUUUUUCUACAUACUCCAUCAAUGUAAUCCUUUGAGGUAUAAUUGAUUUUUCUCUUUAUUUUAUUUGUUGC